UACGUAGGAUGCAAGCGUUGUCCGGAAUUAUUGGGCGUAAAGAGCGCGCAGGCGGUCUAUCAAGUCAGAUGUGAAAUAUCCAGGCUUAACCUGGAGGGGUCAUUUGAAACUGGUAGACUAGAGUACAGCAGAGGAUAGUGGAAUUCCCGGUGUAGUGGUGAAAUGCGUAGAUAUCGGGAGGAACACCAGUGGCGAAGGCGACUAUCUGGGCUGAAACUGACGCUGAGGCGCGAAGGCUAGGGGAG
rnacentral:rRNA from 1 species